UAGAUCACAGGUAAAUUGUGUGAUAAGAUGUUGAUUAUAAGCCCGAGAUGCGGAUUUGAAUUGAAUAGAGAGAAAUUAUACGAAAUUAUGAGUACCGCGGAAUUUAAACUUAUUCAGAAUCUUCUACUUUAAUACCAUGUGAAAUAAAUUAUUCUAAAAACUUUGUAUUAAAAAAUUGUGUGUUUUUAAUAAAUGAAUAAGGUAU
rnacentral:lncRNA from 1 species